rnacentral:rRNA from 1 species
AUGAACGCUGGCGGCGUGCCUAAUACCUGCAAGUCGAGCGAACAGACGAGGAGCUUGCUCCUCUGACGUUAGCGGCGGACGGGUGAGUAACACGUGGAUAACCUACCUAUAAGACUGGGAUAACUUCGGGAAACCGGAGCUAAUACCGGAUAAUAUAUUUAACCGCAUGGUUCAAUAGUGAAAGACGGUUUUGCUGUCACUUAUAGAUGGAUCCGCGCCGCAUUAGCUAGUUGGUAAGGUAACGGCUUACCAAGGCAACGAUGCGUAGCCGACCUGAGAGGGUGAUCGGCCACACGAGAACUGAGACACGGUCCAGACUCCUACGGGAGGCAGCAGUAGGGAAUCUUCCGCAAUGGGCGAAAGCCUGACGGAGCAACGCCGCGUGAGUGAUGAAGGUCUUCGGAUCGUAAAACUCUGUUAUUAGGGAAGAACAAAUGUGUAAGUAACUAUGCACGUCUUGACGGUACCUAAUCAGAAAGCCACGGCUAACUACGUG